UACGAGGGGGGCAAAUGUUGUUCGGAAUCACUGGGCGUAAAGGGAGCGUAGGCGGGUUUCUAAGUCAGGUGUUUAAUCCCGGGGCCCAACCCCGGACAGGCACUUGAAACUGGGAAUCUUGAAUAGUGGAGAGGUCAGUGGAAUUGGGGGUGUAGCGGUGGAAUGCGUAGAGAUCGGGAGGAACACCAGUGGCGAAGGCGGCUACCUGGACCAGCACUGACACUGAAGCACGAAAGCGUGGGGAGCAAACAGG
rnacentral:rRNA from 1 species